rnacentral:rRNA from 1 species
UACGUAGGGUGCAAGCGUUGUCCGGAAUUAUUGGGCGUAAAGAGCGUGUAGGCGGUUUGUCGCGUCUGCCGUGAAAGUCCGGGGCUCAACUCCGGAUCUGCGGUGGGUACGGGCAGACUAGAGUGAUGUAGGGGAGACUGGAAUUCCUGGUGUAGCGGUGAAAUGCGCAGAUAUCAGGAGGAACACCGAUGGCAAGGCAGGUCUCUGGGCAUUAACUGACGCUGAGGAGCGAAAGCAUGGGGAGCGAACAGG